UGGGGAAUUUUGGACAAUGGGCGAAAGCCUGAUCCAGCAAUGCCGCGUGUGUGAAGAAGGCCUUCGGGUUGUAAAGCACUUUUGUCCGGAAAGAAAUCCUUGGCUCUAAUACAGUCGGGGGAUGACGGUACCGGAAGAAUAAGCACCGGCUAACUACGUGCCAGCAGCCGCGGUAAUACGUAGGGUGCAAGCGUUAAUCGGAAUUACUGGGCGUAAAGCGUGCGCAGGCGGUUUGCUAAGACCGAUGUGAAAUCCCCGGGCUCAACCUGGGAGCUGCAUUGGUGACUGGCAGGCUAGAGUAUGGCAGAGGGGGGUAGAAUUCCACGUGUAGCAGUGAAAUGCGUAGAGAUGUGGAGGAAUACCGAUGGCGAAGGCAGCCCCCUGGGCCAAAUACUGACGCUCAUGCACGAAAGCGUGGGGAGCAAACAGGAUUAGAUACCCUGGUAGUCCACGCCCUAAACGAUGUCAACUAGUUGUUGGGGAUUCAUUUCUAGUAACGUAGCUAACGCGUGAAGUUGACCGCCUGGGGAGUACGGUCGCAAGAUUAAAACUUAAAGGAAUUGACGGGG
rnacentral:rRNA from 1 species